AUUGGAAGGGGUGUAUUUAUUAGAUAAAAAACCAAUGCCCUUCGGGGCUCCUUGGUGAUUCAUAAUAACUUAACGAAUCGCAUGGCCUUGCGCCGGCGAUGGUUCAUUCAAAUUUCUGCCCUAUCAACUUUCGAUGGUAAGGUCUUGGCUUACCAUGGUCUCAACGGGUAACGGGGAAUUAGGGUUCUAUUCCGGAGAGGGAGCCUGAGAAACGGCUACCACAUCCAAGGAAGGCAGCAGGCGCGCAAAUUACCCAAUCCCGAUUCGGGGAGGUAGUGACAAUAAAUACUGAUACGGGGCUCUUUUGGGUCUCGUAAUUGGAAUGAGUACAAUCUAAAUCCCUUAACGAGGAACAAUUGGAGGGCAAGUCUGGUGCCAGCAGCCGCGGUAAUUCCAGCUCCAAUAGCGUAUAUUAAAGUUGUUGCCGUUAAAAAGCUCGUAGUUGAACCUUGGGCCUGGCUGACCUGUCCUCCUAAUCGAGCGCACGGGUUCGGUCGGGCCUUUCCUUCUGGGGAUCCCGAUGCCCUUCACUGGGCGUCGUGGGGAACCAGGACUUUUAC
rnacentral:rRNA from 1 species